GGAGGUGGCAAGCGUUGUUCGGAAUUACUGGGCGUAAAGGGCGCGUAGGCGGCUAGGCAAGUCAGGUGUGAAAGCCCCGGGCUUAACUCGGGAAUUGCAUCUGAAACUGCUGUGCUUGAGUUCUGGAGGGGGUAGUGGAAUUCCCAGUGUAGCGGUGAAAUGCGUAGAUAUUGGGAGGAACACCUGCGGCGAAGGCGGCUACCUGGACAGAAACUGACGCUGAUGCGCGAAAGCUAGGGGAGCGAACGGGAUUAGAUACCCCGGUAGUCCUAGCUGUAAACGAUGGGUACUUGGUGUUGGGGGUAUUGAGUCCCUCGGUGCCGGAGUUAACACGUUAAGUGCCCCGCCUGGGGAGUACGGUCGCAAGACUGAA
rnacentral:rRNA from 1 species